rnacentral:lncRNA from 1 species
AUGGAGAUUUGGGAUUCUUUAAACCAGUGCUACCUGGAUUUUAUUAAAAAGCGGGGACCUCUGGAGAAAGAAAGCUGGAUUUUCCAGGAAAGCAGAGCAAGCCGGGUCCCAGAGCCUGUUUGCUGGAGGGUGGAGGAGUUGGCGAGCCGAACGGAUGGACUAAAGGACAUUUUCAUACCAAAAAAAGGAAAGGCGGGCAAAAAGUCUGAGUUGGAUAUAAUUCCCGAGAGGGAAACAAGAACGGGGGGCAGGCGGCAGGAUGGCCGAGAGGCGAGGCGGUUAGGCGGGAAGGGGACCAUCCGCUCUAGCAGGCAAAGAAAAUGCCCCCAGCGGACCCUCCGCCGGCCGAAGACCAUGGAACUGCUCCGAGGCUUAUAUUUUAAAUCCCUCUGAUUUGGGGUGUGUGGAGGGGGGGAGGGGCGCUGGGAGGGGGGGCGCCUGGGGAGGGGUGGAGGAAAACGAAACGGCUUGGAAGUUGGCACUCAGAUGAUGGAUGGCCGAGAUUUGGGGCCUCCCCGGUCUGUCCACGGCCCCCCCCCCUCCGCUACUGUCCGGGUUGGCAAUGGAGAGCCACCGGGUCGGUGCUGCCACGGCCGCCGGCCGCCUGCCUUCCUCUUCUGGCCACCUGGCCGCCGGGCUGCCGGCUCCCCUGCCGCCGGGAAAGUACAUGCCGUCGGGAAUCAACCUCCAUUCGCACCCGGGUAAGUAAGAGUCCGAGGUCCCAAGCUCUCGACCUCACUUCCCGGUUACCACUUCUGGCCACGCUGAGCACUCGGUUUCCCCAUUCAGUGGAGAUCUGUGGCCUCCUGACUCUCCUGAGUUGCACUGUCCCUGAGUUGUUGAGCCCCCUUCGGGUUUCUAAAAUCUGAUAUAAAUAACAACUGCGGACUUUUGGCAAGGGGAUGUGGAAGACCCAGGGUUAGGAUAUUGGGGAGGGGAGCAAGGGAAUAUUUCCCCGAAAUGAGGCUUUUAGUCGCUGAAGUAAAUGUACUUGGAAAUCUUCCCUGUCAGGUCCUUCUGCAACCCUUUCAGUCCACUGGGAGUGUUCCCUUGGAGAAUAUGAGAUCUGAACAGACAUCCCUUGGCUUCAGGGACAUGAUCAGAAAGAGUCAAGAGUCCCUUCCCGGGAGUACCAAAUUAAAAAAAUUUUUUUCUUAAUCUCUAGAGUAAGAGUGUGAGGGCAUAGAUAGCAGCAGUGUCCAGCCCGGUCUGGACAGAUUGCAUUUCGGUAGGGUUUCAGAAAAAGAAAUCUAGAUUUCCCUUUCCCUUUGGGACAGGGCUGGACUGGGGAACUCUCAAAGGUUCAUUCUAUACCAGGCUACUCUUUGCUCCACCCCGAGGGAACCUGGGUUGCUUGGCUGAGGGAGGCACAGGCUACCAGAGUUAGGAACAAGGAAAAGAGACAGCUCUGUUUGUGAAGGAGCUUCCUGGCAAAGAUUUGCCCUAUGUUGGAAAAGUAUGUGUCUUGGGAGUAUAGCUGACAUCUGCUUCAAGGGGCUGGAGAUUCAUUUGCACUGUACCCCACCAGUUUGGUCUGGCUUCUCUGCUUAGGGGGAGGUUGACCUCCCAGGCCAGCUAGCUGGAUAUAUUCCUGCGGCAGGAACCAGGAAGAGAAAGCCCGGGUCAGAACAGACAUCAUGGGGAUUAAGCAGGCCCAAGAUCCUUCAGAAGUCUCCUUUUACAAUAUCCUUCCUCCCCAGUCCUCAGCGGGGGAAAAGAGCUGACUGACUACUCAGUGGCUGGACGCUGGGGAUUGAAGCUUUUUUUGGGGGGGGGGGUUAAUUCCAAGAUAACUUUUAAAGGCUAGUCCAACCCGAAGAGUGUGUUUUCAGUUUUAGAACCUUUUAAGAUAAAAAAAAAUCCCACAAAAGCCAGAACGGUAAAACUUUUUUCUUUUCUUUAAAAAAAGAUCUUUUCCCACUGCCUUUUCCCCCUUAAGAUUUGUUUACUAAGAUUUUUGGAAGCUUUGGUGUAUUUAAUAAACACCCAGCCAUAUAGACA